AAAAAAGGUAAGCUACUAAGAGCGAAUGGUGGAUGCCUUGACUGGUAAAGGCGAUGAAGGACGUACUAGACUGCGAUAAGCUACGGGGAGCUGUCAAGAAGCUUUGAUCCGUAGAUUUCCGAAUGGGGCAACCCAAUGUAUAGAGAUAUACAUUACCUAUAUAGGAGCGAACGAGGGGAAUUGAAACAUCUUAGUACCCUCAGGAAAAGAAAUCAAUAGAGAUUGCGUCAGUAGCGGCGAGCGAAAGCGCAAGAGGGCAAACCCAGUGCUUGCACUGGGGGUUGUAGGACUGCAAUGUGCAAGAGGUGAGUUUAGCAGAACAUUCUGGAAAGUAUAGCCAUAGAGGGUGAUAGUCCCGUAUGCGAAAAACAAACCUUAGCUAGCAGUAUCCUGAGUAGGGCGGGACACGAGAAAUCCUGUCUGAAGCUGGGUCGACCACGAUCCAACCCUAAAUACUAAUACCAGAUCGAUAGUGCACAAGUACCGUGAGGGAAAGGUGAAAAGAACUGAGGUGAUCAGAGUGAAAUAGAACCUGAAACCAUUUGCUUACAAUCAUUCAGAGCCCUAUGUAGCAAUACAGGGUGAUGGACUGCCUUUUGCAUAAUGAGCCUGCGAGUUGUGGUGUCUGGCAAGGUUAAGCAAACGCGAAGCCGUAGCGAAAGCGAGUCUGAAUAGGGCGCUUAGUCAGAUGCUGCAGACCCGAAACGAAGUGAUCUAUCCAUGAGCAAGUUGAAGCUAGUGUAAGAACUAGUGGAGGACUGAACCCAUAGGCGUUGAAAAGCCCCGGGAUGACUUGUGGAUAGGGGUGAAAGGCCAAUCAAACUUCGUGAUAGCUGGUUCUCUCCGAAAUAUAUUUAGGUAUAGCGUUGUGUCGUAAUAUAAGGGGGUAGAGCACUGAAUGGGCUAGGGCAUACACCAAUGUACCAAACCCUAUCAAACUCCGAAUACCUUAUAUGUAAUCACAGCAGUCAGGCGGCGAGUGAUAAAAUCCGUCGUCAAGAGGGAAACAACCCAGACUACCAGCUAAGGUCCCUAAAUCUUACUUAAGUGGAAAACGAUGUGAAGUUACUUAAACAACCAGGAGGUUGGCUUAGAAGCAGCCAUCCUUUAAAGAAAGCGUAAUAGCUCACUGGUCUAGUGAUUUUGCGCGGAAAAUAUAACGGGGCUAAAGUAAGUACCGAAGCUGUAGACUUGCGCACAACUUAGAUUAUUUAAGUUUAGAAUAUGAGAAACUAAGUUAUAUGUUUAGUUAUAUUUUUACUGAUUUUUAUAGAGUAAAGAUAGAAAUAAAACUUAGUAAAAUCAGUAAAAAUAUUCUUAGACUAAAGUUAAGUAGUUUAAGUUGUGUGCAAGUGGUAGGAGAGCGUUCUAUUUGCGUCGAAGGUAUACCGGUAAGGAGUGCUGGAGCGAAUAGAAGUGAGCAUGCAGGCAUGAGUAGCGAUAAUUAAUGUGAGAAUCAUUAACGCCGUAAACCCAAGGUUUCCUACGCGAUGCUCGUCAUCGUAGGGUUAGUCGGGUCCUAAGCCGAGUCCGAAAGGGGUAGGCGAUGGCAAAUUGGUUAAUAUUCCAAUACCAACAUUAGUGUGCGAUGGAAGGACGCUUAGGGCUAAGGGGGCUAGCGGAUGGAAGUGCUAGUCUAAGGUCGUAGGAGGUUAUACAGGCAAAUCCGUAUAACAAUACUCCGAGAACUGAAAGGCUUUUUGAAGUCUUCGGAUGGAUAGAAGAACCCCUGAUGCCGUCGAGCCAAGAAAAGUUUCUAAGUUUAGCUAAUGUUGCCCGUACCGUAAACCGACACAGGUGGGUGGGAUGAGUAUUCUAAGGCGCGUGGAAGAACUCUCUUUAAGGAACUCUGCAAAAUAGCACCGUAUCUUCGGUAUAAGGUGUGGUUCGCUUCGUACUAGGAUUUACUCCGAAAGCGAAGAAACUUACAACAAAGAGUCCCUCCCGACUGUUUACCAAAAACACAGCACUCUGCUAACUCGUAAGAGGAUGUAUAGGGUGUGACGCCUGCCCGGUGCUCGAAGGUUAAUUGAUGGGGUUAGCAUUAGCGAAGCUCUUGAUCGAAGCCCGAGUAAACGGCGGCCGUAACUAUAACGGUCCUAAGGUAGCGAAAUUCCUUGUCGGUUAAAUACCGACCUGCAUGAAUGGCGUAACGAGAUGGGAGCUGUCUCAAAGAGGGAUCCAGUGAAAUUGUAGUGGAGGUGAAAAUUCCUCCUACCCGCGGCAAGACGGAAAGACCCCGUGGACCUUUACUACAGCUUGACACUGCUACUUGGAUAAGAAUGUGCAGGAUAGGUGGGAGGCUUUGAGUAUAUGACGCCAGUUGUAUAUGAGCCAUUGUUGAGAUACCACUCUUUCUUAUUUGGGUAGCUAACCAGCUUGAGUUAUCCUCAAGUGGGACAAUGUCUGGUGGGUAG
rnacentral:rRNA from 1 species